GAAAAGAGAGAUUUCGGCCUCAUUUGGCUUAAAAGGGGAUAGAAGAAAUGUAUUUGACAACAAAGCAAAUUUUAUACUAUAUCAAAAAAAUAAUGUUCAAAUAAUAAAACUAAACAUUCCCAAUAUUUCAGCCCUAAGGCAACAUUCAAGGCGAACAAAAACGUUGUUGCUGGUGUCUGGGGCCUCUAAUCAAGGAUGCCUGGGUGUGCUUCCCAAAAACUCUGCUCAAUUAUAUUACAAUAUUCUACGAUUACCUUAUUUCGUAGUUUUUCAACAGAUGAUCCAUUCUCAUGUAUCACAACAUCCUCCUGCAUAAAAAACAAAAUCUGAGCUUCAAGAACUGAAAAUAACAGGAAAUAUUAUAUUAUUAGUAGGAUCGAAUAAUACAUAGCAUAAUAAUAACCUAUACUCUAAUUGUCAAAUAUUGUAAAACAAUUUCAGACAUCUUUUGAGUAUUAAAGAACAUGUCAAAAUCUAGAAUCACCAAAGAUAUUACAUCCUUUGGUUUCUUGCAGUUGGCAUUCCAAGUUUCAGGAAAUCAUCCUUGUCAUGAAUGAAGGCAAAAUAAAACUACAAUUUUUCAAACAAUAUCAAGGUUUAAUUUAAAAAAAAAAAAAGGAACAAGUUAAUAUAAUAGGAAAAAGUGAAUAAUAAAGAAUGAAUAGAGGGAAAAAGAAGGAAAAUAAAAAAGUUAAAAGAACACAUUACUAGGAUGUCGCAAUAUUGCCCAUAAAGGGAAGCACAAUGAUAUGGAUAAUAUGCAAAAGGUGACUAUGUUCUUUGGACAAGCGGAGAACACUUGUGUUUUAAAUCCACCUUUAAGAACCACUUCAGGGCGUUCAUAUGCAUAAGAUCAGCAUAUUAUUCUCCAAUUAAACUAGUGACAAUUCCAAUUGACAAGUCAAUAAAUGAAAACUUGGUCAUCAUGCCAACAUAAAGAAGCAAAUGUGAAACAACAAAUAUUCUUCCGAAUCAAUUUUUAAUCACAGAUAGUAAUCCGAAUUAUGGAACUAAUUAUUAGCUUGGAGCAGUUACACAGGUUAUGAUUAAGAAACAGUAUUGGGGGUUCCAAUG
rnacentral:misc_RNA from 1 species